rnacentral:lncRNA from 1 species
UUAAUGGUUAUAGUUUGUAAGAUAAUGGAAUCUAUUGUCAGAUAUUGUAAGGAAUGUAUUUGAAGGUCACGUACCUGGGGAAGUAAACUUUGAUGUAUGUAAAUUAAGUUCGAAUGUAUUAUUAUUUAGUAUUAUUCAGCUUAAAGAAAUGGUAUCGUGGAGAACCGAGUUCGGGUUGCAAGUACCCGGAUUUGGGGUCGUCACAGGUUGGUAUCAAAGCUGUAGGUU